rnacentral:rRNA from 1 species
UACGGAAGGCAGCAGUGGGGAAUAUUGCACAAUGGGCGCAAGCCUGAUGCAGCCAUGCCGCGUGUAUGAAGAAGGCCUUCGGGUUGUAAAGUACUUUCAGUCGUGAGGAAGGUGUUAAGGUUAAUAACCUUAGCAAUUGACGUUAGCGACAGAAGAAGCACCGGCUAACUCCGUGCCAGCAGCCGCGGUAAUACGGAGGGUGCGAGCGUUAAUCGGAAUUACUGGGCGUAAAGGGCACGCAGGCGGUUAAUUAAGUUGGAUGUGAAAUCCCCGGGCUUAACCUGGGAAUGGCAUUCAAGCUGGUUAGCUAGAGUCUUGUAGAGGGGGUAGAAUUCCAUGUGUAGCGGUGAAAUGCGUAGAGAUGUGGAGGAAUACCGGUGGCGAAGGCGGCCCCUGGACAAAGGCUGACGCUCAUGUGCGAAGCGUGGGGAGCGAACAGGGAUUAGAU